rnacentral:rRNA from 1 species
UACGGAGGAUGCGAGCGUUAUCCGGAUUUAUUGGGUUUAAAGGGUGCGUAGGCGGAAUAUCAAGUCAGCGGUAAAAAUUCGGGGCUCAACCCCGUCGUGCCGUUGAAACUGAUGUUCUUGAGUGGGCGAGAAGUAUGCGGAAUGCGUGGUGUAGCGGUGAAUUGCAUAGAUAUCACGCAGAACUCCGAUUGCGAAGGCAGCAUACCGGCGCCCAACUGACGCUGAAGCACGAAAGCGUGGGUAUCGAACAGG